rnacentral:misc_RNA from 1 species
UAGCUCUUUAACAAUUUGGAAAGCUGACAGUUAAUAAUUUGAUUAAUUAUUAACUAUUAAAAGUUCUCAAAUACUAAUCUUUUGAUUAGGUACCAAUACACAUUCAAGUGUUCUUGGGAAUCUUACUUUAUAAGUAAGUAUUCAUAUUUGAGUCCGGCAAAAUCGAAAUGUCUCUCGCUCAUUCAAAUAAUGAGAGACAACUAAACCUUGGUUGUUUGCCAUACAUAAAGACCUCUUGGGGUUGUAU